GGCUCAAUGGUCUAGUGGUAUGAUUCGCGCUUCGGGUAUUUCUGAACUUAAAAGUUCAAACCCCAUCAGAACAUGAUGAGCAAUGUGCGAGGUCUCGGGUUCGAAUCCCGAUUGAGCCC